rnacentral:rRNA from 1 species
UGGGGAAUAUUGGACAAUGGGCGAAAGCCUGAUCCAGCCAUGCCGCGUGUGUGAAGAAGGUCUUCGGAUUGUAAAGCACUUUAAGUUGGGAGGAAGGGCAGUAAGCGAAUACCUUGCUGUUUUGACGUUACCGACAGAAUAAGCACCGGCUAACUCUGUGCCAGCAGCCGCGGUAAUACAGAGGGUGCAAGCGUUAAUCGGAAUUACUGGGCGUAAAGCGCGCGUAGGUGGUUCGUUAAGUUGGAUGUGAAAGCCCCGGGCUCAACCUGAGAACUGCAUCCAAAACUGGCGAGCUAGAGUAGGGCAGAGGGUGGAGGAAUUUCAUGUGUAGCGGUGAAAUGCGUAGUUAUAGGAAGGAACACCAGUGGCGAAGGCGACCACCUGGGCUCAUACUGACACUGAGGUGCGAAAGCGUGGGGAGCAAACAGG